UACGGAGGGGGCUAGCGUUGUUCGGAAUUACUGGGCGUAAAGCGCACGUAGGCGGCUUUGCAAGUUAGAGGUGAAAGCCCGGGGCUCAACCCCGGAAUUGCCUUUAAAACUGCAUCGCUAGAAUUGUGGAGAGGUAAGUGGAAUUCCGAGUGUAGAGGUGAAAUUCGUAGAUAUUCGGAAGAACACCAGUGGCGAAGGCGACUUACUGGACACAUAUUGACGCUGAGGUGCAAAAGCGUGGGGAGCAAACAGG
rnacentral:rRNA from 1 species